CCCUUAGAUGUUCUGGGCCGCACGCGCGCUACACUGACGAAUGCAACGAGCUUAUAACCUUGGCCGAAAGGUCUGGGUAAUCUCCAAAUUUCGUCGUGAUGGGGAUAGAUUAUUGCAAUUAUUAAUCUUCAACGAGGAAUGCCUAGUAAGCGCAAGUCAUCAGCUUGCGUUGAUUACGUCCCUGCCCUUUGUACACACCGCCCGUCGCUCCUACCGAUUGAAUGGUCCGGUGAAGCGCUCGGACCGCGGCCUCUUGACGGUUCGCUGUCGAUUGGCUGUGGGAAGUUCGUUAAACCUUAUCACUUAGAGGAAGGAGAAGUCGUAACA
rnacentral:rRNA from 1 species